AGUAAAAGUCGUAACAAGGUUUCCGUAGGUGAACCUGCGGAAGGAUCAUUAUCGAUUGCGAAUUGUUGCCUUCAGUGCUGGCCAGCUCUGGCAAGUGCACGUCGGUGACUUUCAUCCAAUACCCUGUGAACCUUUGGCCUCUGCUCGCUUUGGCCGGCAGAGGAAUUUUACACACACUCGAAUGUAAUGAAAUUACUGUYGUGCGCAAGCACUAAUGUACAACUUUCAACAACGGAUCUCUUGGCUCUCGCAUCGAUGAAGAACGCAGCGAAAUGCGAUAAGUAAUGUGAAUUGCAGAAUUCAGUGAAUCAUCGAAUCUUUGAACGCACCUUGCACCCUUUGGUAUUCCGAAGGGUAUGCUCGUUUGAGUGUCAUUGUACUCUCACACUCCCGAUGCUUUUGGAUCGGGAGCGGUGGACUUGGGUGUUGCUGCUUGACCGCGGCUCGCCUCAAAUACGUUAGUGCAACUCUUGGUUGGACAUAGUACGGCGUGAUAAGUGUCUUCGCCGGCACCUCACUGGAGGGUGGCUGAUCAGGAGCUCUGUGCUUCAAAUCGUCUUCGGACAAUGACUGACAACUUGACCUCAAAUCGAGUAGGACCACCCGCUGAACUUAAGCA
rnacentral:rRNA from 1 species